AACGAACGCUGGCGGCGUGCCUAACACAUGCAAGUCGAACGGAUUUGAGGGGCUUGCUCCUCAAGUUAGUGGCGCACGGGUGAGUAACGCGUGGAUAAUCUACCCAAUGCUCAGGGAUAACAUCUCGAAAGGGGUGCUAAUACCUGAUAAGCCCACGGGCUCUUCGGAGUUUGCGGGAAAAGGGGGGGACCUUCGGGCCUCCCGACAUUGGAUGAGUCCGCGUCCCAUUAGCUAGGUGGUGGGGUAAAGGCCUACCAAGGCGACGAGGGGUAGCUGGUCUGAUAGGAUGAUCAGCCACACUGGAACUGAGGACCGGGCCAGACUCCUACGGGAGGCAGCAGUGGGGAAUUUUGCGCAAUGGGGGAAACCCUGGCGCAGCAACGCCGCGUGAGUGAUGAAGGCCUUUGGGUCGUAAAGCUCUGUCAGAGGGAAAGAAAUGUGGGUGGUUAAUAGCCGUUCCACUUGACGGUACCCUCAAAGGAAGCACCGGCUAACUCCGUGCCAGCCGCCGCCGUAAGAC
rnacentral:rRNA from 1 species